rnacentral:lncRNA from 1 species
GGAGUUGCGAAAUUGUAAUUUUGUAUUUUCUUUGGAUUUUUCACGCGAGAAGUUUAUUGUUUUGGUGAUGACAAUGAAUUUCAUUUUUUUUUGUUUGGAGAGUUGAGCGUUGUGAGUAUUUUGAUGUAUUUUUGAGUUUUGUCAUGAAAUUGCCAAAGGCGGAGAUUGUUACGGAUUUUAAGUUGGCAUAUUUUGUAAAGUUAGUCGGAGUCUUGAAUUUUUGAAGAAGAAGAGAUGAAGAUCGAAGACUCGAAGACUCAAAACAUGAAUGCAUAAUGCUCGGUAAGUUUAAAUACCAUUGAUGAUAAUUUAUAAGUAUUUAAAGUGUUUGGAAGACUUAGGAUGGUUUUUAAAAUAUGAAUCUGGACAAACUGAGUUUUUCAAUGUGCUGGGACC